AUGAACGGAAUCCUAAACUCCCUGAUCAGGACGGUCUUUGUGUCUCCCACUGGGCCAAAAACAGAGCCGGUGCCCAAUAAAGCCUUCUUGUUAGAAUGGCUGUUUUGUUCCCACAUCUUUCAGCUGGAGAUCUGUGGCCCUUCAGAAAAGCCAGAGCCUCUGGUCACUGAACACACAGCCAAAGGUCAGUGCAAGGAUUGGGGACACGUGUCUGUCCCCAGGCAAGUGCAGGAGACAGGAGUUCCUCCCCUGUGGGAACCUGAGGACAGUCCAUUCUCAAUGAGAAGCCCGCUCUGGGGAGGCAGCAGAAAGCAGAGGCGCCUGGAGGAGCCGGGUUCAAACCCAGGCUACAGCCUUGACAAGCCACGAGACCUUAGGUGCUACGAGGGCCCUGGGGAUAAAGAGAUGAAAAAGAUACAGCUGUGUACCCCCCGCAGCAGGCAGACAGAAACCACCACCUAUCACGUAAGAGGAAAUGACGGGAGUGCGCUGGGAAUGGAACCAGAGAAGCGGUAAGCUCUGCCAGCAGGCUUAUGCAAGGUCUCCUGGAAGGCGACACAUGUGGACCAAGUUUAAAGGACAAAAGAGGAGUGGGAUAUCAAUAAGGAGAGGAGGGAUGGGCACAGAGGGGACAGCAAGAUCACGUGAAAACAGGUGUGACAACACAGGAGCAACUUGGAACUCUGGGGACAAUCAGGGAGGUGAGCUCACAGGCUCUCUCCCCAGGUGAAGGUGGGCUACGGUCCAGGAGCACUGCCCGCUAGCCAGAAAGGACCACUCUGACCAGAUUCACCCUUCUGCCCACCCCCACCCCCAAGGCACAGGGCUUCCAGCCCAGGCAGGGCCUGAUGACAACCCAGCGUUCCAGAGCCCCAUCCUCAUAGACGAGGGAGCUGAUCCAGGCUGGUCUUCCAGAGCACCAGCAGACACAUCUGGCCCGCAUCUGAGCAGUGUCCAAAACUCCCCUCUGGGGCCAAGAGAGCCAGUCAGGAUGCUGGUGAAGAGCAUGCUGGGAAACUCCCACAAGGAGCCCGCAUCGAUAUAAUCAGGUCUGGUGGAAAUUAAAAGCUAUUAGGAACAGGGCCGGAUUUAUCUUUA
rnacentral:lncRNA from 1 species